rnacentral:rRNA from 1 species
CCUACGGGUGGCUGCAGUGAGGAAUAUUGGUCAAUGGACGAGAGUCUGAACCAGCCAAGUAGCGUGAAGGAUGACUGCCCUAUGGGUUGUAAACUUCUUUUAUAUGGGAAUAAAAUGUUCCACGUGUGGGAUUUUGUAUGUACCAUAUGAAUAAGGAUCGGCUAACUCCGUGCCAGCAGCCGCGGUAAUACGGAGGCGCCGAGCGUUAUCCGGAUUUAUUGGGUUUAAAGGGGGCGUAGGUGGAUUGUUAAGUCAGUUGUGAAAGUUUGCGGCUCAACCGUAAAAUUGCAGUUGAAACUGGCAGUCUUGAGUACAGUAGAGGUGGGCGGAAUUCGUGGUGUAGCGGUGAAAUGCUUAGAUAUCACGAAGAACUCCGAUUGCGAAGGCAGUUCACUGGACUGCAACUGACACUGAGGCUCGAAAGUGUGGGUAUCAAACAGGAUUAGAUACCCUUGUAGUC